GACGAACGCUGGCAGCGUGCUUAACACAUGCAAGUCGAGCGGUAAGGCCCUUUCGGGGGUACACGAGCGGCGAACGGGUGAGUAACACGUGGGUGACCUGCCCUCAGCUCUGGGAUAAGCCUGGGAAACCGGGUCUAAUACUGGAUAUGACUCCAUGACGCAUGUUGUGGGGUGGAAAGCCUUGUGCGGCUGAGGAUGGGCCCGCGGCCUAUCAGCUUGUUGGUGGGGUGAUGGCCUACCAAGGCGACGACGGGUAGCCGGCCUGAGAGGGCGACCGGCCACACUGGGACUGAGACACGGCCCAGACUCCUACGGGAGGCAGCAGUGGGGAAUCUUGCGCAAUGGGCGAAAGCCUGACGCAGCGACGCCGCGUGAGGGAUGACGGCCUGG
rnacentral:rRNA from 1 species